AGGUCUAGGCUGUCUGUCUCCCUAGGAACUGAGGCUGGAGAUUUCACGCCUGGAGGAGCAGCUGAGUCAGACCUAUGAGGGGCCCGAUGAGUGAGUGGAAUUUCAAGGGGUAGGAGGAGGCAGGAGGGGAGCCUAAGGGCAGGGACACCCUGGCCUCCAGCCCCAAGGUGGGCAGGGAAGGGAGGCCAGCAUGAGCUGACUGAGUGGCCACCAGGCACAGAGGCCAUCUUCCUCCCUCCUUCCUGUGUGGCCAGGCUACCUGAAGGGGCCCAGCUGAGAAGAGUGGGCUGGACCGAGCUGCUACCCCCAUCGCUGGGCUUGGAGAUCGAGGCCAUUCGACAGAAACAGGAAGUGGCAACUGCUGAUCUCUCCAACCCUCUGUGUGGGGUGUGGCAGUGGGAGGAAGUCAUCCAUGAGACCAGUGAGGAAACUGAGUUUCCAUCUGAAGCCCC
rnacentral:lncRNA from 1 species